rnacentral:rRNA from 1 species
UACGAAGGGGGCUAGCGUUGUUCGGAAUUACUGGGCGUAAAGCGCACGUAGGCGGAUAUUUAAGUCAGGGGUGAAAUCCCGGGGCUCAACCCCGGAACUGCCUUUGAUACUGGGUAUCUAGAGUCCAGAAGAGGUGAGUGGAAUUCCGAGUGUAGAGGUGAAAUUCGUAGAUAUUCGGAGGAACACCAGUGGCGAAGGCGGCUCACUGGUCUGGUACUGACGCUGAGGUGCGAAAGCGUGGGGAGCAACAGG